rnacentral:rRNA from 1 species
UACGAGGGGGGCGAGCGUUGUUCGGAAUUAUUGGGCGUAAAGGGUGCGUAGGCGGUUCCGCAAGUCCGGUGUGAAAUCUUCGGGCUCAACUCGAAGUCUGCACGGGAAACUGCGGGGCUUGAGUGUGGGAGAGGUGAGUGGAAUUCCCGGUGUAGCGGUGAAAUGCGUAGAUAUUGGAAAGACCACCAAUGGCGAAGGCACUCUACUGGGCCAUUACUGACACUGAGAGACGAAAGCUAGGGGAGCGAAUGGG